rnacentral:rRNA from 1 species
AUUGAACGCUGGCGGAAUGCUUUACACAUGCAAGUCGAACGGCAGCACGGGGCAACCUGGUGGCGAGUGGCGAACGGGUGAGUAAUACAUCGGAACGUGCCCAAUCGUGGGGGAUAACGUAGCGAAAGUUACGCUAAUACCGCAUACGAUCUACGGAUGAAAGCGGGGGAUCGCAAGACCUCGCGCGAAUGGAGCGGCCGAUGUCAGGUUAGGUAGUUGGUGGGGUAAAGGCUCACCAAGCCAACGAUCUGUAGCUGGUCUGAGAGGACGACCAGCCACACUGGAACUGAGACACGGUCCAGACUCCUACGGGAGGCAGCAGUGGGGAAUUUUGGACAAUGGGCGCAAGCCUGAUCCAGCCAUUCCGCGUGCAGGAUGAAGGCCUCGGUU